rnacentral:lncRNA from 10 species
CCUAACCCAAGUGAUGGUAAUAGGUUGGGCCUUUGGGAAGUGAUUAGGUCAUGAGGGUGGAGCCCUUAUGAAGGGCUUAAAAAGCCCCCUUACAAAAGAAACCUCAGAAAGCUCACUAGCUUCCUUUCACCGUUUGAGGACACAGCAAAAAGACAGCUCCUAUGAACCAGGAAGUGGGCAUUCAUCAGACACAGAACCUACCAGUGCCUUGAUUUUGAACUUCUCAUCCUCUGCAACUUGCCUCCAAAUUCCUGUUGCUUAGCACAUGAUCUUCCCUUCUGAAGAAAACCUUCUUUCUUCUCUCUGGAGGACAGAUAUCGAUGUUGCAGGUCACCUUCUGAAAAGCCAUCUCUUGAUCCCUCUCAGUUCUACAAAGGAAAUAUGAAACCUACUUGAGAACAUUCAAAGAAAAUGGUGAAGAUACAGAAUUACACCAAAAGGCCACAUGUUCAUUAGGAUGGAGAAUAAAAUCACAGUGUGUCUCAAGAUCUAUUUAAAACUCCAUUCUAUAUUUACAUAUGAAUACUUGCUUUUUCUCUGAUUUUUUUCUGAGAGCAUAAAAUAAUUUUGAGAUGAUUCUGAAUGUUUUAAGUUAAAGAAUUAAGAGCACAAGAAUCUUUUAUAGUUCACAUAAGCACACACGCACACAUACACACAUACUAACAGACAUUUAUUUCUCUUUCUAAUCCACGUUUGUUGGUCAACAGUAUAGAUGAUGAAAAGAAUAUCCUCCCUCAUUAUAUCAAAUAGCUCCACCAGCUUGGCUAUGAAUUUUACCCUGAAAUAAGCAACAUAGACACACACAUGCACACAUGCAUACAUCCUUCUUUCUUUAAGUAGAAAACAGCCCUAAUUUUGAUUCAAUUCAAUAAAAUAUACUGUUACAAAAUUAAGAAAUAAUUGAACAGUAGUUUUGAGAGUUAAUAAUGCAAAAUCAAUAUAUUAUACUUUUCUUACUGCCCGUGAUGUAAUAUUUAGCAAACCAGUAUUUAUUAUUGGACUAAUGGUAACACAAUUGACAACACACUGGGAUAUUAUGGGAAUUUCCUGUCAUACGAGUACACCCACUUCAAUUUGAGCUCUACUGGAAAAAUCAAUGCUUAGAAAAUGCAAAAGGGAAACAAUGACUACAACAAUUUUUUAAAUGUCUAAGAUAUUAUUACAUGGUUUUUUUUUGUAAGCAAAACUGAAUAAGAAUAGCUUUAUUUCCUAGAAAAAGCUAGAUAUACUCCUAAAAUAAAGUUGCAUAUGAUUUAAAAGUAGAUUCUCAUUCAUCUGUGUUCUCUGGCCUUUAUUAACUUUAAGUAAAAUAUGUAAUAAUUUGAAAGUAAAAAUUGAAGAGUUCAACUUUAAAACGAAAAUACCCCGAAAUAAAAUCCUUUCUCCCCAUGAAACGUUUGUUUUGCUUCAUGCAUGUUAGUUCAUAGGCUUUCCCCCUUGAGUCCCCA